AUACGGAGGGAGCUAGCGUUGUUCGGAAUUACUGGGCGUAAAGCGUACGUAGGCGGAUUGACAAGUUGGGGGUGAAAUCCCAGGGCUUAACCCUGGAACUGCCCUCAAAACUAUCGAUCUAGAGACCGGGAGAGGUAAGCGGAAUUCCUAGUGUAGAGGUGAAAUUCGUAGAUAUUAGGAAGAACACCAGUGGCGAAGGCGGCUUACUGGACCGGUACUGACGCUGAGGUACGAAAGCGUGGGGUGCAAACAGGAUUAGAAACCCGGGUAGUCC
rnacentral:rRNA from 1 species